rnacentral:rRNA from 1 species
GACGAACGCUGGCGGCGUGCCUAAUACAUGCAAGUCGAACGCAGUGGGGACGGGUGAGUAACACGUGGGUAACCUCCCAUCAGAGGGGAUAACACUUGGAAACAGGUGCUAAACCGAUACUGAUGGAUGGACCCGCGGUGCAUUAGCUAGUUGGUGAGGUAACGGCUCACCAAGGCCACGAUGCAUAGGCAACCUGAGAGUGGGUUCGGCCACACUGUGACUGAGACAACGCCCAGACUCGUACGUGAGGCACCAGUAGGGGAUCUUCGCCAAUAAGCGGGAAUAUGACCGAGCAACGCCGCGUAUGGUAAGAAGGUUUUCGGAUCGUAAAGCUCUUUGGUUAGAGAUGCGGUAUCUAACCAAAAAGCCACGGCUAACUACGUGCCAGCCGCCGCGGUAAUUC